CCCGCUGAACUUAAGCAUAUCAAUAAGCGGAGGAAAAGAACCCAACAGGGAUUGCCCCAGUAACGGCGAGUGAAGCGGCAACAGCUCAAAUUUGAAAUCUGGCCCCAGGCCCGAGUUGUAAUUUGCAGAGGAUGCUUUUGGCGCGGUGCCUUUCCGAGUUCCCUGGAACGGGACGCCAUAGAGGGUGAGAGCCCCGUACGGUUGGACACCAAGCCUUUGUAAAGCUCCUUCGACGAGUCGAGUAGUUUGGGAAUGCUGCUCUAAAUGGGAGGUACAUUUCUUCUAAAGCUAAAUAUUGGCCAGAGACCGAUAGCGCACAAGUAGAGUGAUCGAAAGAUGAAAAGCACUUUGAAAAGAGGGUUAAACAGCACGUGAAAUUGUUAAAAGGGAAGCGCUUGUGACCAGACUUGCGUCCGGUGAAUCACCCAGCUCUCGCGGCUGGGGCACUUCGCCGGCACAGGCCAGCAUCAGCUUGCCGUCGGGGACAAAAGCUUCAGGAACGUGGCUCCUCUCGGGGAGUGUUAUAGCCUGUUGCAUAAUACCCUUCGGCGGGCUGAGGUACGCGCUCCGCAAGGAUGCUGGCGUAAUGGUCAUCAGCGACCCGUCUUGAAACACGGACCAAGGAGUCAACCUUAUGUGCGAGUGUUUGGGUGUUAAACCCCUACGCGUAAUGAAAGUGAACGCAGGUGAGAGCUUCGGCGCAUCAUCGACCGAUCCUGAUGUUCUCGGAUGGAUUUGAGUAAGAGCAUAUAGGGUUGGACCCGAAAGAAGGUGAACUAUGCGUGUGUAGGGUGAAGCCAGAGGAAACUCUGGUGGAGGCUCGCAGCGGUUCUGACGUGCAAAUCGA
rnacentral:rRNA from 1 species